GACGAACCGUGCGAACGUUGUUCGGAAUCACUGGGCUUAAAGGGCGCGUAGGCGGUUCACUCAAGUCAGGGGUGAAAUCUUUCGGCUCAACCGGAAAAGUGCCCCUGAUACUGAUGAUCUCGAGGGAGGUAGGGGCCUGUGGAACUUCUGGUGGAGCGGUGAAAUGCGUAGAUAUCGGAAGGAACGCCGGUGGCGAAAGCGGCGCGCUGGACCUCUUCUGACGCUGAGGCGCGAAAGCUAGGGGAGCAAACGGGG
rnacentral:rRNA from 1 species